rnacentral:rRNA from 1 species
UACGUAGGGUGCAAGCGUUAUCCGGAAUUAUUGGGCGUAAAGAGCUCGUAGGCGGUUUGUCGCGUCUGCCGUGAAAGUCCGGGGCUCAACUCCGGAUCUGCGGUGGGUACGGGCAGACUAGAGUGAUGUAGGGGAGACUGGAAUUCCUGGUGUAGCGGUGAAAUGCGCAGAUAUCAGGAGGAACACCGAUGGCGAAGGCAGGUCUCUGGGCAUUAACUGACGCUGACGAGGCGAACGACAUGGGGAGCGAACAGG